rnacentral:rRNA from 1 species
CAGCAGCCGCGGUAAUACGAAGGGUGCAAGCGUUAAUCGGAAUUACUGGGCGUAAAGCGUGCGUAGGCGGUGAGUUAAGUCUGCUGUGAAAUCCCCGGGCUCAACCUGGGAAUGGCAGUGGAUACUGGCUCGCUAGAGUGUGUCAGAGGAUGGUGGAAUUCCCGGUGUAGCGGUGAAAUGCGUAGAGAUCGGGAGGAACAUCAGUGGCGAAGGCGGCCAUCUGGGACAACAUUGACGCUGAGGCACGAAAGCGUGGGGAGCAAACAGGAUUAAAUACCCCCGUAGUCCCUGUCUCUUAUAU